GAUGAACGCUGGCGGCGUGCCUAAUACAUGCAAGUCGAGCGAACAGACGAGGAGCUUGCUCCUCUGACGUUAGCGGCGGACGGGUGAGUAACACGUGGAUAACCUACCUAUAAGACUGGGAUAACUUCGGGAAACCGGAGCUAAUACCGGAUAAUAUAUUGAACCGCAUGGUUCAAUAGUGAAAGACGGUUUUGCUGUCACUUAUAGAUGGAUCCGCGCCGCAUUAGCUAGUUGGUAAGGUAACGGCUUACCAAGGCAACGAUGCGUAGCCGACCUGAGAGGGUGAUCGGCCACACGGGAACUGAGAACCGGCCCAGACUCCUACGGGAGGCAGCAGAAGGGAAUCUUCCGCAAGGGGGGAAAGCCUGACGGAGCAACGCCGCGUGAGUGAUGAAGGUCUUCGGAUCGUAAAACUCUGUUAUUAGGGAAAAAAAAAUGUGUAAGUAACUAUGCACGUCUUGACGGUACCUAAUCAGAAAGCCACGGCUAACUACGGG
rnacentral:rRNA from 1 species